UUAUUGUUUCUUUUCUCGCAGAGAAUCAAAACCCAUUACAUAAACAUAGAGAGUUACAGAAACUGUAGCAAACCCAAAUCCAAGACACCCAUAAAGCUCAGCUCUUCAAAGCACUUGAAGACUUGAGCUACUAGCCUCUGAAGGAAAUUUUGCUUGCCUUUGAAUUGUUUGGUAAGAUUUGAAGGGUUUAAUCCAGCAAGGGAGUAUGGUGGGAUUUGCAUAUCCUCUUGGUUUCAUGUCCACCAGUGGCUAUGUCAGCCCAAACAAAGAGUUUCACUGGCUGGCUUCUGCCCUUUUUGGUAUGCUUCUCUGCAAAAUUGUUUACAAAUUAACAGGUCUUAUUAGCCUUCAUAGCUUCAAGGAAUAUCAGAAAUUGAGCAAAGCAGAAAAAGUUGAAUGGAACAACCGGGGGUUCUCAACUGUUCAUGCUAUUGCUGUAGCAGUUGCAUCUUUUUACCUUAUACUCUUAUCAGAUACAUUUCAUGAGGGUUAUAGUGAUGAGCUGAUCAUUAGUAGAAGAUCUACUUUUUCAGAUACAACAUUGGGGAUCUCCAUUGGUUAUUUUCUGGCAGACAUAGCAAUGAUUUUUUGGCAUUUUCCUGCUUUAGGUGGACUGGAGUAUGUUUUGCACCAUGGACUAUCUAUGUUCUCAAUCUUCCUUUCCCUUGUAAGUGGUGAAGGGCAGAUUUACAUACUAAUGGUUCUGUUCUCUGAGAGCACAACUCCUUUUGUAAACCUAAGAUGGUACUUGGAUAUUGCUGGUAAGAAGAACUCUAAGCUGUACGUCUGCAAUGGUGUAGCAUUGUUCCUGGGGUGGCUGGUUGCAAGGAUUCUUUUGUUCAUUUACUUUUUCAUCCACAUGUUUUUCCAUUUUCAUCAAGUCAAGACAAUUUUUCCGUUGGGAUUUUACAGCUUGCUCAUGAUACCUCCUGUGUUGGCAAUCAUGAAUCUGUUUUGGUUUUGGAAGAUUGCCAAAGGUUUGAUCAAAACAGUUUCAAAGGGCACACAGAAGACCGUACACAGUCAGUGAUCCUAGCUAGUGAUUCAAAGAUGGGAAUUUGACUUACCCAGUGUACAUUGUUAAUUCUAAAGAUUUGGUUUUGCAACUUUCAAAGGGACAAAAGGGGAAUGCAUGGGUGUGAGUUUCCAAGAGAAGAGAACAAACCCUGAUGUGGGAUGUCUGAUGAGUCAUCUUUUAUGAGGUGAGCACAUGUUAACGACUUGGAAUCGAGGAAAGAAUGAGUCAUGAAGAAAAUGAAUUGAACUGAUCGAGGAGUCGGUUCUUGAAAAGUCAAAAAAUGAAUAUUGGAAAGGAAAGAAUCAAGUGUACGAUUCAGAUUUUAGUACAUAGAACCAUGUCAAUGUUUAUAUUUAGUAUCGGAAGAAAGAACAUUGGGCGUAUAUAACCAGAACCAUGUCUUGAUUCCUUAUCAAAUCAACAAUGUACCACAAACCAAAGAAUCAAAUACUUGAUCCUGUUUAUCGACCAACUUUUUAAUUACUUA